AAAUUUUAUCGAAAUAGAAAAAAAGUGAACUCUUACAAUAACGAAUAUUUUUGCAUUCAAUAAUUAUCACGCGUAUUAUUUUUUAUUUCGCGUUGCUUCUCGAAAUAAUAUAUUUAGACUAUUCAAAAUGCUAUCCUUCGACUAAUGUAAUUGAUUGUGAAGAAAAAGAAAUCUACCAACCUGUGAUACAUCGUGAUAUACACAUAUAAUAUUCCUAUACAUGUAUACAUAUAUGUAUAUAUACAUACUUUAUUGAUCUCUAUCUUGUCGAUGUAUGAUUCAUUCUUAACCAAUUAAAAAGAAGAAAAACCGCAACAAUUUGUGAGAGUGAAUAGAAUGUUACACUGUGGGAAAUAAUAGUUAAAUAAUAUCUAUGUUGCUGAAGGAAGUUAUAUCAGCACGGUUUCCUUCCUGAUAAUCUUUUUCAAAUAUUCGCGCGUGGAUGAAUAAGGAGAAUUCUUGAGAUAUUUGAAAAGCAUUCGAUCCAGGAUUUUAACACGGAAACAUUUACAGUACAAGAUUCACAUUUGCACGAAUGAUAUCUAAAAAUAGGUCGUUACUCGACGACUGGUACGCGACAGCAACAGCAUGGGGCUUCAUUAUUGAUAAGUCCUGAUAAAAGUUAAUAAAAGCGAUUUAAAUAGACAUACUUGAGAGGAUCCACUUAUGAUACUUGAAUUUCGAGUUCACCCAGUACAAGUGUUCGCUUUUAAGUUUAGCUCAUUUGGAUUUACAAAAAUUCAAUCGACAUUCUUUCUAUUACGAAUAGAUGUUACAGUUCUUUGACACCUCUAAUUUAUCAGUAGUUGAAUAUCAUACUAAUUAUAUUAUAUAGUACUGUAUAUUAUAUUAAUAGUAUCGUACUAUAUGAUACUAAUACUGUUAUAAUGUAUAAGCUGCAGAUGUUUAUGAAUUUAUAGAGAACUUGAAUAUACAAAAAUAUAUAAAGUAAAACAAACAUAUUAGGUGCUAUUUCAUUAAUUGCAUUCAUGAAAAUAUAAAUUUGCAUAAAUAUCUGUAUUGUAAUAAUAGAAUAUGAUUAAUGAUUUUCUUCAA